rnacentral:rRNA from 1 species
GGUUCGAAAGCGUGGGUAGCAAACAGGAUUAGAUACCCUGGUAGUCCACGCCGUAAACGAUGUCUACUAGUCGUUGGGUCCCUUGAGGACUUAGUGACGCAGCUAACGCAAUAAGUAGACCGCCUGGGGAGUACGGCCGCAAGGUUAAAACUCAAAUGAAUUGACGGGGGCCCGCACAAGCGGUGGAGCAUGUGGUUUAAUUCGAUGCAACGCGAAGAACCUUACCUACUCUUGACAUCCAGAGAAUUCGCUAGAGAUAGCUUAGUGCCUUCGGGAACUCUGAGACAGGUGCUGCAUGGCUGUCGUCAGCUCGUGUUGUGAAAUGUUGGGUUAAGUCCCGCAACGAGCGCAACCCUUAUCCUUAUUUGCCAGCACGUAAUGGUGGGAACUUUAGGGAGACUGCCGGUGAUAAACCGGAGGAAGGUGGGGACGACGUCAAGUCAUCAUGGCCCUUACGAGUAGGGCUACACACGUGCUACAAUGGUCGGUACAGAGGGUUGCGAAGCCGCGAGGUGGAGCUAAUCUCACAAAGCCGGUCGUAGUCCGGAUCGGAGUCUGCAACUCGACUCCGUGAAGUCGGAAUCGCUAGUAAUCGCGGAUCAGAAUGCCGCGGUGAAUACGUUCCCGGGCCUUGUACACACCGCCCGUCACACCAUGGGAGUUGAUUGCACCAGAAGUGGUUAGCCUAACGUAAGAGGGCGAUCACCACGGUGUGGUUGAUGACUGGGGUGAAGUCGUAACAAGGUAGCCGUAGGGGAACCUGCGGCUG